GAUGAAGAACGUAGCGAAAUGCGAUAAGUAAUGUGAAUUGCAGAAUUCAGUGAAUCAUCGAAUCUUUGAACGCACAUUGCGCCCGCCAGUAUUCUGGCGGGCAUGCCUGUUCGAGCGUCAUUUCAACCAUCAAGCCCCAGGCUUGUGUUGGGGACCUGCGGCUGCCGCAGGCCCUGAAAACCAGUGGCGGGCUCGCUGUCACACCGGGCGUAGUAGAUUUUAACUCGCUCUGGGCGUGCUGCGGGUUCCGGCCGUUAAAAAACCCUUUUAACCCAAGGUUGACCUCGGAUCAGGUAGGAAUACCCGCUGAACUUAAGCAUAUCAAUAAGCGGAGGA
rnacentral:misc_RNA from 1 species